UACGGGGGGGGCAAGCGUUGUUCGGAAUUACUGGGCGUAAAGGGCUCGUAGGCGGCCAACUAAGUCGGAUGUGAAAUCCCCAAGCUUAACUUGGGAACUGCAUCCGAUACUGGAUGGCUUGAAUCCGGGAGAGGGAUGCAGAAUUCCAGGUGUAGCGGUGAAAUGCGUAGAUAUCUGGAGGAAUACCGGUGGCGAAGGCGGCAUCCUGGACCGGCAUUGACGCUGAGGAGCGAAAGCGUAGGGAGCAAACAGG
rnacentral:rRNA from 1 species